ACCCAUUAUUACUCCAACCAUUAUUUUAAAUUGUAAUAAUAUUUGACAAUAGUACUGUUUUUUUUUUUUUUAUUAAAUACAUGCAGGCUUAAUGGGCAUAAAAUAUUUAUUUCAAAAACAUUACAAAUAGCAAUGCGUGUAAACUUUUGACCAGUACUGUAAAUAUUUAUAUCACAACAAAUUGUUGGUGAAAUACUUAAACACUAAUAAACAUUCUUUUUAUAUACAUGUAUUGCAUUUUUGUGUAAUUUUAUUAUUAUUAUUAUUAUUUUAGGUUACUGUUGUAUAACUUGGUUUCAAAGCUACAUCAGUGUGUAUUUCAGAUUAAUGAACCUGGACUCAGUGUCAUAAUUUACAUUGAAAUGUAUUGUCAAAACUUUAAUAACAAAACAAAAAGACCUUUAAAAUAAGAAUUUGUUUUCCUAGUCAUCUUUUAUUACGAAGUAGUUACUUAAGAAAAUAUAACUGUAACGGGUCACGUGACAGGUAUACCGCGGUAGGCGCGUAUAUCUGUGACGGGUCGAGUGACAGGCGCGUAUAUCUGUGACAGGUCGAGUGGCAGCUGCCCCUGCCACGCAAAGAUGUUACUCCCUCUCCAGAGUAGCUUACAAAACGUUUAUUAACAAAAACGAUAAGAUGAGACAUGGAAUAUGCCUACACUACAUGCUGUAUUAGGCUGCAUAGCCUAAUGACUAAUAAAUUACAGAACGUUUAGCAAGCAAUGAGGAAUCAAAUAAAAAUAAAAAAUAAAUAAAAGAGAGCCUCCAUAGCAUAACGUGAUGUAAACAGCAAAGAUAAGCUUUUCAAAAUGAAAUCAAAACAAAAAGAAAAGUAAAACUAAACUUGCUGUCGGUGACAGCUCUUGCAUGUUUUCCCCCCCACGAGAAUACCAACAUGUUCACCAUCUCUGGUUUAAGAAGCGGUCUUUUACUUUACUUUAGCGUGAAAACCAUCAGUAUUCGCGUCAUUUUUGCUGCGCGCACCUUCGCGCUCCUGCUGACGCCGCUCACUCGAUUUUGUUAUAGGCUAUUCUUUAAUUUUGUAGUCCGUAUGAAAAGGUUUAUUUCUAUUAAAGCCAGGUCCGUGGAGAUGGCGAAUCAGUGUCGGCAUUCGUCAACCUAAUCAUUGCACCCGACUCAGAAAGCACUUAUUAAUAAAUUAUUAAAAUGUCUUCUUUUCCCCUGAUACGUUCAUAAUCACUUUGCCGGUGUUUUGAGGCAAUUGCUUUAUGCGUGAGCUUGAGCGCGGAAUGCCUGUAGCCUAUUAAAGUAUGGUUAAUAUAUUAUUAUAUUAAUCAAUUUAAUAUAACGUGCGAAUAGUUGACUAGAAAAAUCUAUAGGGAAGGCCUAUUUAGCAGAAGGAAGCGCUCCAUUUUCUUUUCUUUUUUUAAAUAAAAUCCUAUAAUGACAUUACGAAAAGUGCGACAACUGAAAAUCACGUCGUUAUUGCACUUUACCAGUUAUACAUGCAUAAGGAGUCAAAUGUUUUUGUUGUUGUAGUAGUUUUUAUCACCCUGAUUAGAUUAUGAAGAAUUAUUUGUUGAUCUUGUUUUCCCUUUAAUAUACCUAAUACAUACCGCAAGAUAUUUUGAAAGUGACCCAUACUCAGAAUUCUUGCUCUGCAUUUAACCCAUCCAAAGUGCACACACACAGCAGUGAACACAGACACACACAACGUGAACACACACUCGGAGCAGUGGGCAGCCAUUUAUGCUGCGGCAGCCGGGGAGCAGUUGGGGGUUCGGUGCCUUGCUCAAAGGCACCUCAGUCAUGGUAUUGCCAGCCCGAGACUCAAACCCACAACCUUAGGGUUAGGAGUCAAACUCUCUAACCACUAGGCCAUGACUUUUUCAGUUACUUUCAAAAUGUGGUAGGGACAAUAUCUGCCAUACCCGUUGGAUGAACUGGAAUGUGUUCUUCAUAGAUUUAGGGUAGUUGAGAAGCAGUGUGUAUGCAAGUCCAUAAUGCAUAUAGCUUUUGGCAAGUCAUCAAUAUUGUCCAUCACAACUUCUCCUUCAAUGAUGAUCUUCAAUGAGGCUGGAUUGAGAUGGAGAGAAGAUGAGAGCCUUCUUGCUCAAUGAGGAGGAUUCCAAUGUCAUCAGAGUCCUAACAACAUUACAGCACAAUCAUGAAAUUUCUCAUUACAUAACCAUCAAUAAUGUUAAGCAAUUUGUUACGACUGCUGGAGUUCUGUCUUCACAAUGAUUAUUUAAAUUUUGGUAACAUGGACUUUUAAUGUAGGAACAGAAA
ensembl:lncRNA